rnacentral:lncRNA from 1 species
CCGGGGAGGGUGGAAAUCUCAGGGUUUCUCCUGCAAACCCUCCUGUCCCCCCCCCCCACAGCUGCCCGGGACCUGGCUGUACGUGGCAGGGGCUGCCCAGUUCCCCCAGCACCAGGUGGAGAUGCUGCUCAUCGACCACGCCUUGCUGCGCCUGGAGCCGGGGCCCGGCGGGCAGGAGCUGCUCAUCAGCCACUUUGUGGCCGUCGGGGACCAAUGUUAUACCCACAACCUGACCUACCUGGAGGUCACUGCCGGUAACGCCUCCCUGGUGAAGAACGCCGUGACCCAGCAGACUGAGGGGAUGCUGAUGAACACGAGCUCUGAAAACCUUUUACUCAUCCAGUACCAAAUGCAGAGGGAAAGGACCUAUUUGGGGCAGUAUCUCUAUGCCAGGAACCUGAGCCUGAGCACGGCAGAGCGGGAGGAAUUCGAGCAGCACGCCGGGUGCCUGGGGCUGAGGGCAGAGCAGAUCGUGUACGCGCCCUGGAAAACGGAGGUGUGUCAAGUGAAAGCAGCCGAAGGCAGCAGCAGCCCCCACCCAGAGCCCGGGGCUGCAGCCACAGCAUCCCCUGCCCCAGGCACCCCCCGGCCUGGCAGUGCAGGGAACUGACCCACACAGGCCAAUAAACCUUUCCUUCAAAGUAAACA